UACGGGGGGGGCAAGCGUUGUUCGGAAUUACUGGGCGUAAAGGGCGCGUAGGCGGUUCGCUAAGUUGGAUGUGAAAACUCUGGGCUCAACCCAGAGCCUGCAUCCAAAACUGGCGGGCUAGAGUUCUGGAGGGGGUAGCGGAAUUCCUGGUGUAGCGGUGAAAUGCGUAGAUAUCAGGAGGAACACCAGUGGCGAAGGCGGCCAACUGGUCCGAUACUGACGCUGAGGUGCGAAAGCGUGGGGAGCAAACAGG
rnacentral:rRNA from 1 species